GAAGAAUUCCCUGAUGAAGUGGAUACUCCAUUGGAUGUCCCUGCUAGGAAGCGUUUCGCCAAGUACAGAGGGCUCAAAUCUUUCAGAACUUCCUCCUGGGACCCAAAAGAAUCUCUACCUCAAGAGUAUGCUAGAAUAUUUGCAUUUGACAAUUUUAAUAGGACGCAAAAGCAUGUACUGUCUAGAGCCCGAGAGAUGGAACAGAACGUUGAUGAAUGUAUACCAGCUGGUUCAUAUGCAAGGCUCCAUAUCCGGGAAGUUCCAAAUGGUGUGGCAAACAAGUUAAAUCUUGUAACGAAGACAAUGCCUGUGAUCCUGUGUGGUCUGAUGCAGCAUGAGUCUAAAAUUUCUGUCCUUCACUUCAGCUUAAAAAAGCACGACAGUUACACUGAUCCAAUAAAAUCUAAAGAAGAGAUGAUAUUCAAUCUUGGGUUUCGCCAGUUUGUUGCAAGGCCCAUAUUUUCUUCCGAUAGUUUUAACGCUGAUAAGCAAAAAAUGGAGAGAUUUCUCCAUCCCGGGCGUUUUUCAGUAGCUUCAGUAUAUGCUCCUAUUUCAUUUCCUCCCCUUCCUUUAAUUGCCCUGAAGAUUAAAGACGAUGCAACUCCUGCCACUGUUGCUGCCAUUGGCUCUUUGAGAAGUAUUGACCCAGAUAGGAUUAUUCUAAAGAAAAUUAUUUUAACCGGUUACCCUCAACGAGUAUCAAAACAGAAAGCGACGGUAAGAUACAUGUUUCAUAACCCAGAGGAUGUCAGAUGGUUCAAGCCUGUUGAAGUUUGGUCAAAGUGUGGUCGUCGUGGUCGCAUCAAG
rnacentral:misc_RNA from 1 species